CUUCCCUGCUGCCGGGCCCGGGGCACGGCGUGUGGUCCAGCACGGUGUGGGACCCCCCGAGCGCAGCCCGGGCUUUGCACAGCCCGCUCCCGUGCUGGGGCUGCGGCUGAGCCAUUCUAAACUCCCUCCCUGCCCUUCCUGAGCCACUUUGCAAAGUAGGUGAGGGUGUUUUUAUUUAAUCUGAAAGCACAAUGUCUGCUGCAUUUGUUAGUUCAUGGAUUUGUUUUUAAAGGUGUUGGUAUUUCCUCACCUGUUCCAUCGCAGCCUCUUCUAAAGAUGCUUCAGUAUAUUUGUAUCUCACAGUGGCAUCCACCACAUAUGCCUGGUUUCCUUUCACAAAUAUUAGGUCCUGCUCAUAUAACUAAUUGUGCCUAUCUCUUAUAUGUGGUUCCUGGAACACAAUCCAGGCUUUCUUUUUAGCUUCAUUUGUUAACAUUUUGCAGAUGUAGUUGUGCCUUUUAAUUCUCACAGUGGGGUGUGUUUUCUUAGGACCAGGGUCUUGCUGUCUGUCCUGCAGGGACAGGAGGAUGGUCACACCAGCCUCACCACUGAAUGCACCCUGGAACAGCUCCAUCUGUGCCUCUGAAACCAGAGUCAAACAUUUUCUCUUUGUCACAAGUCUCAGAGUGCCUGUGGGAUGAGUGACCUGUCAGAAGCAGCUGCCAAAACACAGCUCCUGGGGGCUGAUCCCCAGUUCUAUGUGCAGCACAGGCAGGAGACCACCAGCUUGUGGUUCUCCUUUAUGCUCCAGAUGAGUUUGCAUUCCAAGAGGCCAAUGGAGGUGGGGUCUGUCCAAAUGUUCAGCUCCUGCACUUGCCCAAAAGGUCUCCACUAAAAAAAAAUUGCAAAGAGCAUUCAGUGAGCAGAAGCAGUGCCUGGGCACUUUUACUUCCCCUGCCUGCUUCUCACUUGAUUUCAGCCUCAUGCUGGAGGGGUCUAAAAGGAGCAUUUCUGCUUUGCCAUCAUGCUCAAAUAAGAAAUAUACCUCUGCCUCCAAGGGGAAGACAUUGAUGGUUAUCUUCUGCUGGGACAGUUCUUUCUAUAAAAAGGGAAAAGGCUGCUGAGGGGUCUUGCUUUUAGCAGACAUGUAGGAAUGCACUGUGUGCUAGCAGCAGGAGGUGGCACUGGGAAACCACAGCCUAACAAACCUGUGAGGAAAAAAGAUCCCAGUCAGGGGCACGGGGCACAGUAUGUGUGCUCAUCUUUGCAUUACUUUGAUGCCCCUUUACUUGGUGCCUCCAUAUCAGAAGACUGAUGAUGUACAGGCCACUUCAAGAGACUUUUACACAAAAUAAUUUCAAAAGUGCCUGGCAAAAUAAGAGUACACCAGGCACACGGGUUCUUUGCCUUCCUUUCUUGGGUUGCCUUUCCUGCGGGGAAGGCUUUUAUCACCUUUAGAAAAGAUGAUUUUAAAAUACUUUAGCUUAUCUCUUUCAAAAAAGUCAUGAGACUGCCUUAGAUUUCGUGGGUUAGCUCAAACUCUGAGGGAAGAAAAUAGGGUCAGUUUCCAAGGAGAAUGCCAGUCAUAACAAAUGACCCAUCUCUCAGAUGUGGAACUGAAUUUGGAAUGAAAGGGUUAAAGGGGCAAACAGAAAUCCCAGCCUACAUAUCAGCCUGGCUAAGGAUCCUAUUCAGUUUUUAAAUUAUUUUGAUUGAAUGUUUCUGGGUUGUCAAAAUACCUCUAGACCUCCAGAGCUCCCAUGGAGAAAAUAACUUAAUUUCAAAUGUCAUUAAAAAGAUAAAAAAAGAGCAACAUUAAAAAUAGAAGUACACCAGCAGUUGCAACAACAUUUUUAGGCAGACUUUAUCCAGCUGUGAGGAUGCAAUGUAAUUACAGGAAAUGCAGUUCCCACUGUGAUUUCUCUGCAGGUUCCCCUCCGACAUAAACAUAGUGGCAGGCCAAAUCAUAAAAUCUGAGCAGUAUUACAGAUUAGAGAAAGGCUGAUACGUACUGGGUUGCGUGGCAACGUUUUGGUAGGGGGGGGCUACAGGGGUGGCUUGCAUGAGAAGCUGCCAGAAGCUUCCCCAAUGUCUGACAGAGCCAAUACCAGGUGGCUCCAAGGAACUACCACUGGCCAAGGCGAAGAUAAUGGUGAUGCCAUAAUGGUAAUGCCACAGGAAGAGAAGCUGAGUGGCCAGGAUACAACCCAAAGACUUAACUUCUACUGGAAAGAGAUUUCUCUUGAAGACAUUUCAGUGACAAGAGUGAAGAAGAAAGAAUGGUUUGAACAGUUGGAGUAAAAAAAAAAAAAAAAAAAAAAAAAAAAAAAAAUCUAAGCACACAAGAGUCUAGUCCAGAUAGGAAAAACCCCAAUUUUUCUCCCCUGGCCAAAAUUAAUGUGUGUGUCUGAUGAAUGCUGGGAGGCUCUGCUGAUGGGCUCCAGCAAGCUUAGAUGUAUGGAUGCUUCAGUUCUACUGAUCUCACCUUCCUCAGUCUUGAUAUACUUGAUUCCCUUGGAAUCAGACUGAAUUAGUUUAUUCUGAUCACUUAGAAUACCAACAGUGCUUAAUGUGGACCAGAAAUAAUAUCUGACAUGCUGCCCUUCUGCCAGGCUCUUGAUGAGCAAUUUGAGGUGUUAAUAGCUUGGAGACCAUCUUCAUUUGCAGCUCUGCCAUGCACAAUGACAUGGUGGCUGCUGAGGGACCCAGAGAAAAUACAUUCCUGCUUAAUUAACAUGCAGAGCAGAACAGGGAGCUGUCAUAGCAUCCUCAGCAGGAAAGAGGCAGCAACAGGGCCAUGCCAAGCCCUUUGGAGCAGAGGCUGCUCUCAUGCCAGAUGCUUGGGACCCUCAGCUGCCACCAACUCUGCAGGCUCAGGUGACUCAGCAUGAGGAGCAGCAAGUGCCUGCAGGCUCAGGUCCAGCAAAGCCAAUUGAGGGGUGAUUAGAAGCUGAACACUGAUUCAGCAUUCCCAAAAGCCUGAAUUGGUUCUAAAAAAAUGGGAGUAAAGAGAAACAGGCAAGUGGCCAACAAGUGGCCCCAGAGGAAAUUAAUUCCUCACAGACUUCACUGGAAUGUGCUUAUUUCUCUGUUAUUGAAAAAUAAUGUGCAUUGUUCUAGCAUCAACAUUAGAUUUCCUCUUUAGGUUGUAAUUAAACCCUAAUCUAAUUUGGCAGAAGAUAACAGGGACCUCCAAGAAGAGCUAACAGCCCUGCUGUUCUUCUCCACCUCCCUCCACCUGCUUUUGGCAACUUUUCUCUGCAUUCCAGGGUCUGCUCAUGAAGGUUCUGUGUGUCAAGAAGGGGCACACAAAAAACUUGCUGGGAUUUGAUAAGACCCAUCUGGAAAUGGUCUGCAGCCGAAUAGAACUAAAGCCAAAAGCCUGACCUUCACUAUCAGUGGAGAGGAGCAUCUGCCUGGGGUGAGGGUCCUGUGCCCGGGUCUUCGUGAUGCAGAGAGGAGCCUGUGCUGCGCUUCGAGAGGCACCUGCUGGGUGAUUCAGAGAAACUCCCUCUGGUCCUUUGUAACAAUGGCAUUGUACCUGUCCAUGUGAGGACCUGCUCAGGGAAUGUCCUGGUCUGGGAACCAGUGCUUGUCCCAUGAAGGAAAGGUCCCCCAAAAUAUGGCCAACUUGGGAACAGGUCUCAGAAAUUCUUUUUAAACAAAUGACUGAUUUCUGUUCUCCAGGAAGGGAGUUCUUCUUGGAAAUGUGAUUUUCUGACCAGUCCUCUUCAGCUAAACACAACACAGGAAAGGUGGUGGGGGACUUUCUGCCCUGUCUCUCAACUUGCAUUUUGUUCUCAUGGGCAUGUGUGGUGUCCCAGUUUCAUUAGACUGUAUUUGAUCCCUGUUUACUACAUUUUAAUUAAACUUGGUUGUGGUUUAAUUUCA